CAAUCAGAGCUUCAGAUCAGCACGCGCUCAGCAGUGUUACUACCCUGAGUUGACAGAAUCGUAGCCGAGAGCAAAGAAACCACAGCUUUCAUCAGCAAGCAGAGCAUUUUAAAUGGCUUUUUGAAAGCCAAAAAUGCUUGCAAGUCGACCUCAUUACUACUUUGGGAGAAAUCCCAGUUGAGAGCCAGUGAUCGAAACUGCCCCCUUUAUUUUGCCCAGCAAGGGGAAGGGGCUUGGACAGAGAGGUGCAGGAGUUGUUAGAGAGGCUGGACCAGACACCCCCGGUCAGCUGCCCUCCAGGGUAGUGGUAGGGUGCAUGUUUUUAUGGGGCCACUUAUGUACUCCUGAACUUUCUCUGUGUCUCCACCCCACACUGACUGAUGAGCAGUCCACACAUGGAUGCCAAUUUUGCAGAAGAGACGGAGACAGAGUCUGUGCAGCCCCACAGAGGCCAGAAGAGGCACCUGCUUCUCGCUCUCCAGCUCUUAGAGUGCGGGACCAAUCACACAUCUCCCCUGUGGAUUCUAUGAGAUUGAACCAAUUCUUCUUUACCUCAAUUAACUGGAAUCAAGUUUUCUUACAUCGCAGACCAAAUGAGGCUUUUCCAAGACUUUCUACCUUGUUUUCUAGGCUUCUCCUUGCCUGGGCCUGUGAGUUCCUUGGCAGGCUUGUCACAGAUAGAAGCUCCACACCUCCCAGGUGGCUGCAGUGGCUAUAGUGAGCUACUGGAAAUCAGGAACCUUGUCUCAUUGCCUUUUCUGCCCUGCCAGGAAUGGAGCUGAACCAUUUGGAUAAGUCAGAAGCAGACUGUUACAAAAGUGCCAGGAGGACUAUAACAUCUUGUCUAUGCCAUUUCUGAUAAUCAACUAACUGGUUUCUCCUUCUUCUCUAAAUUUCCUGGUGUCUGGAAUAGCAUAGGUACUUGGAAAAUGAAUGAGUGAGUAUGUAAUUGCAUAAAACAUAUGUUUUUCUUCUAUUCUAACAUAAAAUUGUGGGAAAUACCUUGUCACAUUCACUUUGUCAUCAAGUACAUUCACGACUUUAAAAAGGAUUUGGCUGGG
rnacentral:lncRNA from 1 species